AUUUUAUUAUACUUUGUAAGUUUUUAACGGUGUGCGUAUAUAGAACAAAUCUCCAAAAGUAUGGCCUCGGGUAUUGUAUCGGUUGUGUUUUUCUUGGUCGGCGUGUCCGUGUGUCUGUCCUUCAGACUUCCGGUGGAAGACCCAGCACGGCUGGAACGUCAGGCAGAACUACCCCAAGACGAAACCACUGCAAGCCCAUUUCCUGUGAACCCAGCCCUACCGGAGUUAAACGGAAAAGCUUUCAACAUUUCCAAUCUCCUGCCCAUCCUGUUACUGCAAAGUUUAUCUGGGGGUACCAUAGAUAUACAGACCCUUCUGCUCCUAAAACUUAUAGGCUAGAAUCAGUAGACGAACAAUCAAGCCUGCUAGUUAGCACUUUAGUAAAAGAAUAAUAUAUUCGGGGUUAGUCCUUGUUUCCAUUGUAAUUCAAUAAAGAAGCUAGUGCCGAAAUUCUCUACAUUUUCUUGGAAGACUUACGUUCCACCCAUCUAGCCCAUACCAUGUGAUGAACUUGUAUCUUUAUUUAUGUUUAUGCAGAUACUAGAAUUUUACCAGAUGUGUUUUGUUUUGCUUUGAUGCCUUGAGAAA